rnacentral:rRNA from 1 species
GACGAACGCUGGCGGCGCGCCUAACACAUGCAAGUCGAACGAGAGAGAAGGAGCUUGCUUCUUCGAUCGAGUGGCGAACGGGUGAGUAACGCGUGAGGAACCUGCCUCAAAGAGGGGGACAACAGUUGGAAACGACUGCUAAUACCGCAUAAGCCCACGGGUCGGCAUCGAUCUGAGGGAAAAGGAGCAAUCCGCUUUGAGAUGGCCUCGCGUCCGAUUAGCUAGUUGGUGAGGUAAUGGCCCACCAAGGCGACGAUCGGUAGCCGGACUGAGAGGUUGAACGGCCACAUUGGGACUGAGACACGGCCCAGACUCCUACGGGAGGCAGCAGUGGGGAAUAUUGCACAAUGGGGGAAACCCUGAUGCAGCGACGCCGCGUGGAGGAAGAAGGUCUUCGGAUUGUAAACUCCUGUUGUUGAGGAA